rnacentral:rRNA from 1 species
CUACGGGCGGCUGCAGUGAGGAAUAUUGCACAAUGGGGGAAACCCUGAUGCAGCAACGCCGCGUGGAGGAUGACGCAUUUCGGUGUGUAAACUCCUUUUAUAUGUCAAGAAAAUGACGGUAGCAUAUGAAUAAGCACCGGCUAACUCCGUGCCAGCAGCCGCGGUAAUACGGAGGGUGCAAGCGUUACUCGGAAUCACUGGGCGUAAAGGACGCGUAGGCUGGUUGGUAAGUCAGGUGUGAAAUCCUACAGCUUAACUGUAGAACUGCACUUGAAACUACCAACCUAGAGUAUGGGAGGGGGAGAUGGAAUUAGUGGUGUAGGGGUAAAAUCCGUAGAUAUCACUAGGAAUACCGAAAGCGAAGGCGAUCUCCUGGAACAUAACUGACGCUAAGGCGUGAAAGCGUGGGGAGCAAACAGGAUUAGAUACCCGCGUAGUC